GUAGGUGGCAAGCGUUGUCCGGAAUUAUUGGGCGUAAAGCGCGCGCUGGCGGUCCUUUAAGUCUGAUGUGAAAGCCCACGGCUCAACCGUGGAGGGUCAUUGGAAACUGGGGGACUUGAGUACAGAAGAGGAAAGCGGAAUUCCAAGUGUAGCGGUGAAAUGCGUAGAGAUUUGGAGGAACACCAGUGGCGAAGGCGGCUUUCUGGCCUGUAACUGACGCUGAGGCGCGAAACGCGUGGGGUAGCAAACAGGGAUUAGAUACCCUGGUAGUCCACGCCGUAAACGAUGAGUGCUAAGUGUUAGGGGGGUUUACCCGCCCCCGUUAGUGCUGCAGCUAACGCAUUAAGCACUCCGCCUGGGGAUACGGCCGCAAGGCUG
rnacentral:rRNA from 1 species